UACGUAGGGUGCAAGCGUUGUCCGGAAUUAUUGGGCGUAAAGAGCUCGUAGGCGGUCUGUUGCGUCGGCUGUGAAAACCCGAGGCUCAACCUCGGGCCUGCAGCCGAUACGGGCAGACUAGAGUUCGGCAGGGGAGACUGGAAUUCCUGGUGUAGCGGUGAAAUGCGCAGAUAUCAGGAGGAACACCGGUGGCGAAGGCGGGUCUCUGGACAUUUCCUGACGCUGAGGCACGAAAGCCAGGGGAGCAAACGGG
rnacentral:rRNA from 1 species